rnacentral:misc_RNA from 1 species
CGGAUAGGCAACCAAUAAAGCCACAAACUCUCAAUCAACUCUUCUUGUUCCUCAUAAACUCAGUGAUCAAAAGUCCAAACUACAGAUCUGAUAAAGACCCCUUCUUGGAAUUCUUUUCUUAAUUUUCUGUUUUUGGAAUCAAAACCCAGCUAGAUAUACAAUAAAGCCCCCCUAGAGCAUCAUUUCCCAUAGACUAAAAAAAAAUAACUGUCAAAUACUAAUUGUGCUUAAUUUUACUAUAUUUGAUCAUUGGUCAUGAAACGAGGAUACUCUGAUUCUCCGUCAACCUCUGCUGGUGAUGGCCCACCUAAGUCAAGAGUCAAAUAUACACCUGAAGGUGAUGCACAUUUUUCUGAGGAUUUUGUUCAAAAGGUAGCUGACCAUUACAGUGCGAGGACAAA